UGAUGAUGAUGAGGGAAAUUUCUAAGCAUGCCUUUAAAUUUCUCCCAAUCUUGGUAGAGAUUUUCUCUUUUUUUCUGCUUGAAACUUAGAAUAUCACUUCUCAAAUG
rfam:Capsicum annuum cultivar Zunla-1 unplaced genomic scaffold scaffold174, whole genome shotgun sequence